rnacentral:rRNA from 1 species
AAGUCGAACGGUAACGCGGAGAGCUUGCUCUCUGGCGACGAGUGGCGGACGGGUGAGUAAUACUUAGGAAUCUGCCCAGUAGUGGGGGACAACAUUCGGAAACGGAUGCUAAUACCGCAUACGCACUACGGUGGAAAGUGGGGGACCUUCGGGCCUCACGCUAUUGGAUGAGCCUAAGUCGGAUUAGCUUGUUGGUGAGGUAAUAGCUCACCAAGGCGACGAUCCGUAGCUGGUCUGAGAGGACGAUCAGCCACACUGGGACUGAGACACGGCCCAGACUCCUACGGGAGGCAGCAGUGGGGAAUAUUGGACAAUGGGCGCAAGCCUGAUCCAGCAAUGCCGCGUGUGUGAAGAAGGCCUGCGGGUUGUAAAGCACUUUCAGUAGAGAAGAAAAGCCCAGGGUUAAUAACCCUGAGUCUUGACGUAACCUACAGAAGAAGCACCGGCUAACUCCGUGCCAGCAGCCGCGGUAAUACGGAGGGUGCGAGCGUUAAUCGGAAUUACUGGGCGUAAAGCGCGCGUAGGCGGUUUUGUCAGUCGGAUGUGAAAGCCCUGGGCUUAACCUGGGAAUUGCAUUCGAUACUGCAUAACUAGAGUA